rnacentral:rRNA from 1 species
UUUACGCUGGCGGCAGUCCUCCCCCCUUCAAUUCUACCGAGUGGCGGACGGGUGAGUAAUGUCUGGUAAACUGCCUGAUGGAGGGGGAUAACUACUGGAAACGGUAGCUAAUACCGCAUACCAUCGGAUGUGCCCAGAUGGGAUUAGCUAGUAGGUGGGGUAAAGGCUCACCUAGGCGACGAUCCCUAGCUGGUCUGAGAGGAUGACCAGCCACACUGGAACUGAGACACGGUCCAGACUCCUACGGGAGGCAGCAGUGGGGAAUAUUGCACAAUGGGCGCAAGCCUGAUGCAGCCAUGCCGCGUGUAUGAAGAAGGCCUUCGGGUUGUAAAGUACUUUCAGCGGGGAGGCGUUACCCGCAGAAGAAGCACCGGCUAACUCCGUGAAAGCAGCCGCGGUAAUUC